ACUCGAGAAAGAGAGAGAAGAGGCUGCCUUGUAAAUUAGGGCUUGAGCGAUGUUACCGACAUGCCAAGCAGGGCUUGAGCGAUGUUACGGCAGAUCGGCCAGUGCAGACAUCGCUCUGAAUCUUCUCCACCUCUUCCAAGUUCAGUAAUCAGAACACAACCAAAACUGCAUAACGGGAGAAGAAAACUGAAAGAAAAGGAACGAAGAGAGGAAACUGAAGAGAGAACGAACGAAACUCCGUUUUUUUAAUUUUAAGUGUUCAAUUAGACCUCCGUG
rnacentral:lncRNA from 1 species